UACGGAGGAUGCGAGCGUUAUCCGGAUUUAUUGGGUUUAAAGGGUGCGUAGGCGGCCUGCCAAGUCAGCGGUAAAAUUGCGGGGCUCAACCCCGUACGGCCGUUGAAACUGCCGGGCUCGAGUGGGCGAGAAGUAUGCGGAAUGCGUGGUGUAGCGGUGAAAUGCAUAGAUAUCACGCAGAACCCCGAUUGCGAAGGCAGCAUACCGGCGCCCUACUGACGCUGAGGCACGAAAGUGCGGGGAUCAAACAGG
rnacentral:rRNA from 1 species